AUGGAGAAUGUGCAGUAUGCCGAAGAACUCGUGAGGGAGUUUCUUGUGUUCAGGGGUUUCACGAACACGCUGCAAGCUUACGAGGCAGAACUGUCCACCGAGAUCGGCAGGAACUUUGAAGUAGACAAGAUCCUAGAUUUAGUGUUCUCAGUGUACAUACCAAAAUACCAACUGGAUAGACUGCUAAGCAUCUUCAGCUUUUUAAAACAGUGUUUCACUUCACCUGCGGACACGGUACUCUACACGGCGCUUCUUAAACUGGAGCAGUCAGUAUUACGUUAUUAUGUUGUCAAUGCCUUGAAAUCUGGAAGGCAAGAAAAAGUUAUUGAAUUCUUUAGCGUAGGCGGCAGUCAUCUGAUGCAAAAGCGUGAAGAUUGGAUAGCAUGGUUUGCUAUACCAUAUAUUAAGAACCCAAGCUUGGAUCCACAGUUCCGUAUGUAUUUUUCCAAAGAAUGGUCAGAUACUUUGGUUCUUUCAUUUCGGAACUUCUUAAGUGGGAUAUUCAAUGGUACUCGAAUCCCAGCUCUUAUGAAGAUUAGCACUGAAAAGAAUAUGAUCAAGUGCCUCAAGAGUGACAUAAAGCAACUGAAUAACAAAUUGUCAGAGCUGCAAGCAUUGUUAGAGGUCAAGGAAGUUGAACUAUCCCUGCUGAGAAGGAAUGAUCAUAGUAUUAAUUCCGGACACAAGAAUUUACUCAAGAUUACUACAGCUGGUUCCUCCGUUGGGGGACAAGCUUUCUCAGGAGUCUAUGAAGAAUCCUCAACUUCAAGUACAACUGUACAGGGUGUCAAUUCACAGACUUUGAGUUCAGCAAAAUCAAGAGCUGAGAAAUUGUGUGAUUCUUCUCGGAUGAGCAAUGCAGAAAAUGAGCAGAUUUUGGUGACAGAGGAAGACUUUCCUGAAGUGAAGGUGGAUUUUCAGGAAACAUUUUUAGGCCAUAACAGUUCAAUAAGUAGCUGUCGAUUUUCUGCUUCUGGAUCAAAUAUUGCUAGUUCUUCGACUGAUGGCACAGUGAGAAUCUGGACAUACGACUCAUCAACACCAUCAUCAAAAAAUGCCACUAUAUAUUGUGGGGCUGAAGUCAGCGCACUUUCUUGGGAAUGCAGAUCUGAUCGCUUGCUGCUCAUAGGCACAGCUAAUGGAGGCAUUAAAGCUUGGAAUGCUGAUGCAAAGAGAGUUGUUUGUGACCUCAGUACAUCCAAGGACUUCCCAAGUGUGCUUGAUUUGAAGUGUAGCCCUGUAGAUCCCGUGUUUGUCUCUGCAGCUGCAUCGAGACGGCAUGGAUCAACUAUAUUUGAUAGAACAGGAUUUGCUUCCCUGACAGUAUGGCAUAUGAAAACAUGGAAGCCUCUGACAGUCCUCCCUCUUGGCGAGGAUCCACCUGCUAUUACUUCACUUUGCUUCAAUCACAAUGGGAAGAUCUUGGCAGCCUCUGCAACAGAUGGAAUGAUUCACAUGUUUGACAUGUCUGCUGGUCUACAAAUCACUGGAUGGCCUGCCCAUGACUCCCCUGUGAGCUCAGUUCUUUUUGGGCCAGCUGAAACAAGCAUCUUCAGUUUAGGCUCAGAUGGAAAGAUAUUUGAGUGGAGCUUGCACAAUCAAGGUCAGAUUAUUUGGUCAAGAGAUUGCAGUAGGUUUUGCAACCCUGAGAGCUUUAACAAACGCAUGCAUGAGGUAGCAUUGGAUUCUAAUGGCAAGAGACUUCUUGCUACGUCGGGUUUGGUUCGGGCUCCAAUAUACCAGGGAGUAAAUAUUAAAAGGAAGUCGCUCCUCCUCUUCCAAGAAAGAAAGCUAGGGUUCCUGCCGCCGCAGGUCCGCCUCGUCUCCGGUGGCCCCAGGGCCAUGGAGGCGCGGUGGAUCCUGCCAAGGGCCGGAGAGAGGGGCGGCGGCUUCCUGAAGAUGGAAUAA
rnacentral:rRNA from 1 species